rnacentral:rRNA from 1 species
UACGGGGGGGGGGCAAGCGUUGUUCGGAAUUACUGGGCGUAAAGGGCUCGUAGGUGGCCAACUAAGUCGGACGUGAAAUCCCUCAGCUUAACUGGGGAACUGCGUCCGAUACUGGAUGGCUUGAGUUUGGGAGAGGGAUGUGAGUACUACGUGAGUGAGCGGUGAAAUGCGUAGAUAUCUGGAGGAACACCGGUGGCGAAGGCGACUCCUGGACCAGUAUUGACGCGUGGAGGCGAACGCAA